rnacentral:rRNA from 1 species
GAUGAACGCUGGCGGCGUGCUUAACACAUGCAAGUCGAACGGAAAGGCGCUGCUCUUGUGGCGUGCUCGAGAGGCGCACGGGUGAGUAUCACGUGGGUAACCUGCCAUUAACUUUGGGAUAACGUUAGGAAACUGGGGCUAGUAUAGCAUAGGAGCUCCUGCUGCCUGGUGGGGGAUGGAGAGUGUCGGUGGUUGGGGAUGGGCUGGCGGCUUCUCAGCCUGUUGGUGGGGUCGUGGCUGACCAGGGCUUCGACGGGUAGCCGGCGGUAGCGGGGGACCGGCCGCAUUAGUACGACGGGACGGCCCAGACGACUACGGGAGGCAGCAGUGGUGAGUAUUUCACAAUGGGGGGAGGCCUGCUGAAGCAGCACCGCGGGCGGGAUGACGGCCUCCGAGGGGUAAACCGCUUUCUCCUGUAACGAAGCGGGAUUGACGGUAACUGGUAAAGAAGCACCGGCUAACUACGUG